GAAUAAUAAUACUACUUGCAAUAUGAAAUAAAGUUUAUAUUGUAUAUUUGUCAUUUUAUCACAUUUUUCAUCAUAUAUUUUUGACUAAAUUAUAGAAAACUCUCAUGUCAAUACCUGAUUUUUCACUUUCCGCCAUUAUCAUUUAAAACCUACACUUUGUCCCCCUGUAAAAUAAAAAAUAUUCACAGGGGGUACGGUGUGAACUAUGAUGAUAAAAUGACUAUUUUGUCCCUCACCAUAUUCACAAGAGAGAAGACUGAGGGCAUUUUUGGCAUAAAAAAUAUAUAAUAAUAUUUUAUAAACGGAACCCUAACGAAUUACUAAUAGCAGGGGGCGAAGUGAACAUUUUUCAUUUACAAGGGGGCAAACCGUAGGUUUUUAAAUGAUAGGGGAGGAAAGUGAAAAAUUGGAUUUAGCCAGGGGGAUUG
rnacentral:lncRNA from 1 species